rnacentral:rRNA from 1 species
CCUACGGGAGGCAGCAGUAGGGAAUAUUGCUCAAUGGGGGAAACCCUGAAGCAGCAACGCCGCGUGGAGGAUGACGGUUUUCGGAUUGUAAACUCCUUUUGUUAGAGAAGUCAAUGACGGUACCUAACGAAUUAGCACUGGCUAACUUCGUGCCAGCAGCCGCGGUAAUACGGAGGGUGCAAGCGUUACUCGGAAUCACUGGGCGUAAAGAGCGCGUAGGCGGGAUGGCAAGUCAGAUGUGAAAUCCUAAGGCUUAACCAUAGAACUGCAUGUGAAACUGUUAUUCUAGAGUAUAGGAGAGGUAGGUGGAAUUCUUGGUGUAGUGGUGAAAUCCGUAGAGAUCAAGAAGAAUACUGAUUGCGAAGGCGGCCUGCUAGACCAUAACUGACGCUGAUGCGCGAAAGCGUGGGGAGCAAACAGGAUUAGAUACCCCUGUAGUC